rnacentral:rRNA from 1 species
AUUGAACGCUGGCGGCAUGCCUUACACAUGCAAGUCGAACGGUAACAGGGAGCUUGCUCCGCUGACGAGUGGCGAACGGGUGAGUAAUGUAUCGGAACGUACCAUUCAGUGGGGGAUAACGUAGCGAAAGUUACGCUAAUACCGCAUAUUCUGUGAGCAGGAAAGCAGGGGAUCGCAAGACCUUGCGCUGAUUGAGCGGCCGAUAUCAGAUUAGCUAGUUGGUGAGGUAAAGGCUCACCAAGGCGACGAUCUGUAGCGGGUCUGAGAGGAUGAUCCGCCACACUGGAACUGAGACACGGUCCAGACUCCUACGGGAGGCAGCAGUGGGGAAUUUUGGACAAUGGGGCAACCCUGAUCCAGCCAUGCCGCGUGAGUGAAGAAGGCCUUCGGGUUGUAAAGCUCUUUCGGCCGGGAAAAAUCGCAUCAGUUAAUACCUGGUGUGGAUGAUGGUACCGGAAUAAGAAGCACCGGCUAACUACGUGCC